UUUGAAUUGUUUUUGUUGCCAGUAUGCUAAUUAUGAUGCUUUAAUAUGAUAGUGUCAAGCAUGAUGAACAAGAGAGUACAAGCAAGUAUCAUUCAUACAAGAAACCUUAUAAACAACAGAAGGAGAAAAAAACAAUGAAGUAAAUAUUAAUGCAUUAGUUUCUUGAAACAUCUGUACAACAGAAAAAUCUAGAGGACAAAAGAAAAUUAAAGUAAAGAGCAGAACUUUACCAGGAGGAAGAAGCUUGGCCGGCCGCACAGGUUUUUUUUUUUUUUUUUUUUUUUUGAGAAGAAAGUGAAAGCCCUAGCAGUUAAUAUGACAUAAAGGACAUGAAUGAUAAUAAAAAGGUUUUUACAA
rnacentral:lncRNA from 1 species